rnacentral:rRNA from 1 species
GAUGAACGCUGGCGGCGUGCCUAAUACAUGCAAGUCGAGCGAACGGACGAGAAGCUUGCUGCUCUGAUGUUAGCGGCGGACGGGUGAGUAACACGUGGAUAACCUACCUAUAAGACUGGGAUAACUUCGGUAAACCGGAGCUAAUACCGGAUAAUAUUUUGAACCGCAUGGUUCAAAAGCGAAAGACGGUCUUGCUGUCACUUAUAGAUGGAUCCGCGCUGCAUUAGCUAGUUGGUAAGGUAACGGCUUACCAAGGCAACGAUGCAUAGCCGACCUGAGAGGGUGAUCGGCCACACUGGCACUGAGACACGGUCCAGACUCCUACGGGAGGCAGCAGUAGGGAAUCUUCCGCAAUGGGCGAAAGCCUGACGGAGCAACGCAGCGUGAGUGAUGAAGGUCGUCGGAUCGUAAAACUCUGUUAUUAGGGAAGAACAUAUGUGUAAGUAACUGUGCACAUCUUGACGGUACCUAAUCAGAAAGCCACGGCUAACUACGUG